rnacentral:tRNA from 1 species
UCCCAUAUUGUCUAGUGGUUAGGAUACCGGCUCUCACCCGGGAGGCCCGGGUUCAAUUCCCGGUAUGGGAA